CUCUGCUCUUGCGUUAGGUAUUUGAUGGAUACGUCUGUCAUUUCAAAUCAAGGGAAUAAAGGAGUCUAAUUCCAUGCUGAAAAAGCAAAAAAAUAAAUGAAAAUGGAAGCUGAUAGUAGCUGUAUUGCGAACUCCGUUAAACAUUU
rnacentral:ncRNA from 12 species